AGCGAACGCUGGCGGCAGGCCUACACAUGCAAGUCGAACGAUCCUUCGGGAUAGUGGCGGACGGGUGAGUAACACGUGGGAACGUGCCCUUUGGUUCGGAACAACUCAGGGAAACUUGAGCUAAUACCGAAUGUGCCCUUCGGGGGAAAGAUUUAUCGCCAUUGGAGCGGCCCGCGUCUGAUUAGCUAGUUGGUGAGGUAAUGGCUCACCAAGGCGACGAUCAGUAGCUGGUCUGAGAGGAUGAUCAGCCACACUGGGACUGAGACACGGCCCAGACUCCUACGGGAGGCAGCAGUGGGGAAUCUUGCGCAAUGGGCGAAAGCCUGACGCAGCCAUGCCGCGUGAAUGAUGAAGGUCUUAGGAUUGUAAAAUUCUUUCACCGGGGACGAUAAUGACGGUACCCGGAGAAGAAGCUCCGGCUAACUUCGUGCCAGCCGCCGCCGUAA
rnacentral:rRNA from 1 species